rnacentral:lncRNA from 1 species
CUUUUAUCUCAACCUUGAUUUCAUCACAGUGAUAAACUCUAAAUAUGGAAGCUUCUCUCACUAGAACAGAGGCAGCUUCUAUAUAACCUGUGUUACCAUGGCAAUGAGACAGUCCAACAGAUAUCUCCCCAGAAUUCACCAGCUAGUGACGUUUUAGAAUUAGGAAUUCUGGAACUGCUUUGUGAAGGUUUCUGUGUAGAAAGAUACAAGAAGGAGUAGAGGUUAGUCAAGAGUUAGAAUUAUAGCAUCAUCUUCCAUUUCUGGACCACACGGACAGGGUGCUCCUCAACCUUCGCCUCCAGACAGAGGCUGACACCAGAGGCCACUAUUGCUAUUGAUGCACUGGUGUGGAUCAUAUUUGCUAUUUUAUAGAGGAGGAAACUGGAGCAAGCAGAGUUAAGUGACUUGUCCAAGGUCACCCAGUCAUUAUGUAUCUGAGACCAGAUGUGAACUCAGAAAGAUGAGACCUCCCAACUCCAGACCCAGUGCUCCAUCUACUAUGCCACCUAUCUGCCCAGAGAGUUGUCCACUUGUCUCCUAAAGAUCUCAUUCCUGACCUGGGGUAUAGGAGCCUGGGAACUGGAGAGAAACAAGAGAGGACAGGGGGUGCCAAAAGCCCCAGAUUUCAUAUUUAGCGAGAACAUUUCCUCCCAAAAGAAGACCCAUAUGACCCUUCCAGGGAACACAUCCACCAGAGAAGUAUAUGGCCUCAGAGAUGACAUUGGAUGAAAUAGGAGACAAGUAGCAA